rnacentral:lncRNA from 1 species
UUCAUUCAGGGCGACUGAACUGAGUCACGGGGGUGACUGGAAUUAAGGCUCAGCUGAGUCCUGCCUCUAGAACUGUAGCACCAGCCCAGGAGGAGCUUCCUGUCGCACCUGUCUAUCUGUACAGCAUCUCAUGUGUGACUUAAGAGCCUCAGGGAUACCAAACCACCACACUGCUUUGGCAUUUAGUAAGUCUUAAAAAUGAUGGCCUCAGAGCCCAGGGAGUCAACCAUGGGAGCCUGGGCUAGCAUGGUUCAUGGGGGCAGUGGCACUCCUCACUGGUUCUCUUUGAUCACAGUGUCUGCCUAAGGUACCUCUUCUUAUUUACAGAUCGUCUGGUUUUUCCUCUCACAAAAAACGUGUGAGUGAAAUUAUCACGAGUGAGGUUGUAGUCCUGAUGUGAGUGUGAGUGAGAUUAUCACGAGUGAGGUUGUGUCCUGUUGAUGUGUGAGUUCCAGGACAGCCAGGACUACACAAAGAAAACCUGUCUCAAAAAAAACUAAACAAACAAACAAACAAACAAAAAAAGUCAGACUCAGUUAUUGUGGACUCUCAGUUUCUACUUUCAGGGGCCCAUGGCCAGUCAAGUGAGAGUCUACCAUUGUCCCCCAUUUUAGAGAUGGCCGUGUCUUGGGUGUGCUGGAGGUAUCCCGCUCCAUUGGAGAUGGGCAGUACAAGCGUUGCGGGGUCACAUCCGUGCCUGAUAUCAGACGCUGCCAGUUGACCCCCAAUGACAGGUAAAAGCAAAUGGUCACCAAAAGUGUGGGUGUACACACACAGGGACUUGUUUCUCUUGCUGAUUUUUCUCCAAUCUCUGUUCAGCCUUUGCUGGGAGAAGUUGAGGGGGUGGGGUAUGCAGUGUGCCUGGCCCUGGGGUGCAGACACCUGUGGGUUCCAGUUUCAUGGGGUCCAUGGUGGUCAGGAAGCAAAUGAGAUGGGCACUGGCCUUCCCACAGGAGUGUAGGAGUUAUACUAGGAGGCUUUAGUGUGGGGGAGGCACCCAUUCCAGAGGGACUAUAUCCAGACCGUGUCAACUCACUCAAGUACAACAUGAACAGCCAGGUCAGUGCUAACAGUGGUGGC